CUCUGAUGUAUUAGUAGGACAAUACUGUACCGCAGGCAGCAGUGCUGUAUGUUGUUGCAAAAGGCAAGUAACAAAGGAAGACAGACUGGUUGGUCAGGGUUUCAUCCUACAGCAAGUUAAUGAGCCAAAACUUUGGAGGAACAAAGGCAGAUGGUGGCCUCACAUGAUGGAAGAGCAGCACAGACUCCAGACUUAAACCCCAUGGAGCUGGUUUUGGGAUGAAAUGGACAGGAGGUGAAGGCAAAGCAAAUAUUUGCAGGAACUUCUGCAACAGUGUUGGGACAAACUUUCUGAACAAAAUGGAGAAAGAAAGACGCCACAAAGUACACGAAGACAAACAUCUGAGUAACAACAGAAAAAACGGAGGAGAACACUUUGAACACUUUGAACCCCUGCUGGUCCAUCUGGAGGCUCUGGACCACAUGACUCUCCUUCUCCCUCGGUGGAAGUAUUUGAUGGCUAAAGGUGUCAGUGUGCUCCAGUCAGAGUGUUUGUCAGAUGGUUGAGUAGCGUCUGAAACCUCCUUGCCCCACAUCUUUCCAGUGUCAGAACUAGGGGAGAAAGUAAAGAUGGGUUUGGAAUUUUCUCUCAGGAUCGUUUUUCAUUCUUUACACAACCAUUUUUUUUUAUGUAUGUGGACAAAAUGCCCUCUAGGAGACAUUGUGUGAAAGUUUAAGCUCCAUGUUUAAACUAUAAUCGCCUCUCUAUGACGAGUGUCUUUUUGCCUGCUUUCAAGUGCGGCUGUUCAGAGUAACUAUAAAUAACUCUUACUUCUGACUUGGUUGGACAACACGCAAACUAGUUUAUUUCGAGCAUACCGAGGCUCCACUGCAAUGUCAGCUGUUAUGUGCCAGUGAUAGCAGCCUUCCUCCAGGACCUACAGGCUGUUCACAGACUCUUCAGCUGCAGCAGAGAAGGACAACACUGCAGAAGUGUGGAGGCCUUCUGGUUCCUCGUCUGAGGUUCAUACCAAAUGGCGUCCUGUCAGUGAAUCUGAGAACGUUAUAACAUAUCAACUCCCUCUCGGUCCAAUGUGCAUCAAGCCUCUCGCUGCAGGAGCCUGAUGGGUGGAGUUCAGUCGUCAGGAAGAUUUUGCUCAUCUGGUCUGGCGGCACUAUAUAAACUGGUGGCAGUCAGCUGGUCAGUGGGCCAAUCCCAGUGUCCACCCUCACAGACUGUGAGACAUGCUUCCGAACGGACCCAGCAGCAUAUGCCAGUUUCAUGGCUUUUUUUGAGGUUGCCUCACGGUCAGCCUGGUGGCUGGUGGCUGGUGGCUGACCCUCUGUCUGAUUCGGCUCUGGAGGCCCCUGAGCCGUCUCCUUUUUGGGAACCCGGCGGGCCUUCUCAGAGGUAUCUAGGGGAGGGAGCCCCUGGGAAGAAAUGCAUUUCACCGAGACACCGGUUCCCCAAGCAGCCUCAGACCCAGAACUUCAGCUUCCAGCACGAGCCCCAACUACCCCACUAUCAAGAACCUCUGCUCUCUGGUGACCAGGAGCCUUUCGCCAACCGCCCUGGCUGACGGCGGCCCAGCUGACUCCUGAUUCUGGUUCCCAGUCAGACAUUUUGCAUUUACUCCCUUGUGCAGUUACACACUGAAAUAUCUCAAUCAGUAUGGGAUGAAUAGCCAUGAAAUUUUAUUGAAACAGUCAUGGUCUCCAGAAGAUUGUAGUCCUACUGACUUGGUGAUACCAUGUGUUUUCUUCUAGCAUCACCAUGAUGUUGACAUCUGUAGUUUUAAGCGAAAUGUCAACAACACAUUGAGGCAAAUAAUGAGAUGUGCUAAUAAAGUUUAAAUUGCAUGCAA